rnacentral:rRNA from 1 species
UACGAAGGGGGCUAGCGUUGUCCGGAAUUACUGGGCGUAAAGAGCUCGUAGGUGGUUUGUCGCGUUGUCCGUGAAAACUCACAACUCAAUUGUGGGCGUGCGGGCGAUACGGGCAGACUGGAGUACUGCAGGGGAGACUGGAAUUCCUGGUGUAGCGGUGGAAUGCGCAGAUAUCAGGAGGAACACCGGUGGCGAAGGCGGGUCUCUGGGCAGUAACUGACGCUGAGGAGCGAAAGCGUGGGGAGCGAACAGG